UAUAUAUAAAGCCAGUUAAGUUUAGCAGAACAUUCGCUCACUGCAACUAACGUUGAGAGCAUCAUGAAAAGAACAACCUGUGCGGUGUUAAUGUGUCUUCUGAUAGCGUUUGCUGGGCUCCAUGAGACCGAAGCACGAUGCCAUAAAGUCAACUGCUUCAUGAAUCCCUGUCGUGUUGCAAAAUGUCCGAAGUACCCCAACGCCAAAUGCGUACCCAACUAUUGCAAUGGCUGUAAUUACUACUUCGUCCUGAACGGAAGAAAUGUGAAAUGCUGAAUAGCUACGAUGCCCUUAAAAUAAAGUGAAAAAAAUAAAUAUUUGAGAAAAUGAAGUAA